AUUGAACGCUGGCGGCAGGCUUAACACAUGCAAGUCGAGCGGAGGUGAGGUGCUUGCACCUUAUCUUAGCGGCGGACGGGUGAGUAAUGCUUAGGAAUCUGCCUAUUAGUGGGGGACAACAUUCCGAAAGGAAUGCUAAUACCGCAUACGCCCUACGGGGGAAAGCAGGGGAUCUUCGGACCUUGCGCUAAUAGAUGAGCCUAAGUCGGAUUAGCUAGUUGGUGGGGUAAAGGCCUACCAAGGCGACGAUCUGUAGCGGGUCUGAGAGGAUGAUCCGCCACACUGGGACUGAGACACGGCCCAGACUCCUACGGGAGGCAGCAGUGGGGAAUAUUGGACAAUGGGCGGAAGCCUGAUCCAGCCAUGCCGCGUGUGUGAAGAAGGCCUUUUGGUUGUAAAGCACUUUAAGCGAGGAGGAGGCUACCUGGAUUAAUACUCUAGGAUAGUGGACGUUACUCGCAGAAUAAGCACCGGCUAACUCUGUGCCAGCCGCCGCGGUAAAAC
rnacentral:rRNA from 1 species